GGGGAUUUAGCUCAGUGGUAGAGCGCUUGCCUAGCAAGUGCAAAAGGCCCUGGGUUCGGUCCCCAGCUCCA
rnacentral:tRNA from 1 species